rnacentral:rRNA from 1 species
UACAGAGGGUGCGAGCGUUAAUCGGAAUUACUGGGCGUAAAGCGUGCGUAGACGGUUCUGUAAGUCGGAUGUGAAAUCCCCGGGCUCAACCUGGGAAUUGCAUUCGAGACUGCAAAGCUUGGGUGCGGAAGAGGGAAGCGGAAUUUCCGGUGUAGCGGUGAAAUGCGUAGAUAUCGGAAGGAACACCAGUGGCGAAGGCGACCACCUGGACUGAUACUGACACUGAGGUGCGAAAGCGUGGGGAGCAAACAGG